CCUACGGGAGGCAGCAGUGGGGAAUAUUGGGCAAUGGGCGCAAGCCUGACCCAGCAAUGCCGCGUGAAGGAAGAAGGCUUUCGGGUUGUAAACUUCUUUGACAGGGGAAGAGCAGAAGACGGUACCCUGAAAACAAGCCACGGCUAACUACGGGCCAGCAGCCGCGGUAAUACGUAGGUGGCAAGCGUUGUCCGGAUUUACUGGGUGUAAAGGGGGUGUAGCCGGGAAGGCAAGUCACAUGUGAAAUCUGGAGGCUCAACGUCCAAAUUGCAUUUGAAACUGUUUUUCUUGAGUACUGGAGAGGCAGACGGAAUGCCUUGUGUAGCGGUGAAAUGCGUAGAUAUAAGGCGGAACACCAGUGGCGAAGGCGGUCUGCUGGACAGCAACUGACGGUGAGGCGCGAAAGCGUGGGGAGCAAACAGGAUUAGAUACCCGAGUAGUC
rnacentral:rRNA from 1 species